rnacentral:rRNA from 1 species
GAUGAACGCUAGCGGCAGGCCUAACACAUGCAAGUCGAGGGGUAGAAGCAGCUUGCUGCGUUGAGACCGGCGCACGGGUGCGUAACGCGUAUGCAAUCUACCUUUUACUAAGGAAUAGCCCAGAGAAAUUUGGAUUAAUGCCUUAUGGUCUAUUUGAAUCGUAUCAUUUAAAUAUUAAAGAUUUAUUGGUAAAAGAUGAGCAUGAGUCCCAUUGGUUGGUUGGUAAGGUAACGGAUUACCAAGACGAUGAUGGGUAGGGGUCCUGAGAGGGAGAUCCCCCACACUGGUACUGAGCAACGGGCCAGACUCCUACUGGAGGCAGCAGUGUGGAAUAUUAGUCAAUGGAGGCAACUCUGAACCAGCCAUGCCGCGUGCAAGAUGACGGUCCUAUGGAUUGUAAACUGCUUUUGUACAGGAAGAAAAAGAGUUACGUGUAGCUUAUUGACGGUACUGUAAGAAUAAGGAUCGGCUAACUCCGUGCCAGCAGCCGCAGUAA